GAUGAACGCUGACAGAAUGCUUAACACAUGCAAGUCAACUUGAACUUCGGUUUGGGUGGCGGACGGGUGAGUAACGCGUAAAGAACUUGCCUCACAGCUAGGGACAACAUUUGGAAACGAAUGCUAAUACCUGAUAUUAUGAUUAUAUGGCAUCGUAUAAUUAUGAAAGCUAUAUGCGCUGUGAGAGAGCUUUGCGUCCCAUUAGCUAGUUGGGGAGGUAACAGCUCACCAAGGCGAUGAUGGGUAGCCGGCCUGAGAGGGUGAUCGGCCACAAGGGGACUGAGACACGGCCCUUACUCCUACGGGAGGCAGCAGUGGGGAAUAUUGGACAAUGGACCGAGAGUCUGAUCCAGCAAUUCUGUGUGCACGAUGAAGUUUUUCGGAAUGUAAAGUGCUUUCAGUUGGGAAGAAAAAAAUGACGGUACCAACAGAAGAAGUGACGGCUAAAUACGUG
rnacentral:rRNA from 1 species